UCCCUAGUAGCUCAGAUGGUAAAGCAUCCACUUGCAAUGCAGGAGACCCAGGUUCAAUCCCUGGUUUGGGAA
rnacentral:tRNA from 1 species